AGAGUUUGAUCCUGGCUCAGGAUGAACGCUGGCGGCGUGCUUAACACAUGCAAGUCGAACGAUGAAGCCCAGCUUGCUGGGUGGAUUAGUGGCGAACGGGUGAGUAACACGUGAGUAACCUGCCCUUGACUCUGGGAUAAGCCUGGGAAACUGGGUCUAAUACUGGAUAUGACUUCUCACCGCAUGGUGGGGGUGGAAAGAUUUAUUGGUCUUGGAUGGACUCGCGGCCUAUCAGCUUGUUGGUGAGGUAAUGGCUCACCAAGGCGACGACGGGUAGCCGGCCUGAGAGGGUGACCGGCCACACUGGGACUGAGACACGGCCCAGACUCCUACGGGAGGCAGCAGUGGGGAAUAUUGCACAAUGGGCGCAAGCCUGAUGCAGCGACGCCGCGUGAGGGAUGACGGCCUUCGGGUUGUAAACCUCUUUCAGUAGGGAAGAAGCGAAAGUGACGGUACCUGCAGAAGAAGCGCCGGCUAACUACGUGCCAGCAGCCGCGGUAAUACGUAGGGCGCGAGCGUUAUCCGGAAUUAUUGGGCGUAAAGAGCUCGUAGGCGGUUUGUCGCGUCUGCCGUGAAAGUCCGGGGCUUAACCCCGGAUCUGCGGUGGGUACGGGCAGACUAGAGUGCAGUAGGGGAGACUGGAAUUCCUGGUGUAGCGGUGAAAUGCGCAGAUAUCAGGAGGAACACCGAUGGCGAAGGCAGGUCUCUGGGCUGUAACUGACGCUGAGGAGCGAAAGCAUGGGGAGCGAACAGGAUUAGAUACCCUGGUAGUCCAUGCCGUAAACGUUGGGCACUAGGUGUGGGGGACAUUCCACGUUUUCCGCGCCGUAGCUAACGCAUUAAGUGCCCCGCCUGGGGAGUACGGCCGCAAGGCUAAAACUCAAAGGAAUUGACGGGGGCCCGCACAAGCGGCGGAGCAUGCGGAUUAAUUCGAUGCAACGCGAAGAACCUUACCAAGGCUUGACAUGUUCCUGACCGCCGUAGAGAUACGGUUUCCCCUUUGGGGCAGGUUCACAGGUGGUGCAUGGUUGUCGUCAGCUCGUGUCGUGAGAUGUUGGGUUAAGUCCCGCAACGAGCGCAACCCUCGUUCCAUGUUGCCAGCACGUAGUGGUGGGGACUCAUGGGAGACUGCCGGGGUCAACUCGGAGGAAGGUGGGGACGACGUCAAAUCAUCAUGCCCCUUAUGUCUUGGGCUUCACGCAUGCUACAAUGGCCGGUACAAUGGGUUGCGAUACUGUGAGGUGGAGCUAAUCCCAAAAAGCCGGUCUCAGUUCGGAUUGGGGUCUGCAACUCGACCCCAUGAAGUCGGAGUCGCUAGUAAUCGCAGAUCAGCAACGCUGCGGUGAAUACGUUCCCGGGCCUUGUACACACCGCCCGUCAAGUCGCGAAAGUUGGUAACACCCGAAGCCGGUGGCCUAACCCUUGUGGGGGGAGCCGCCGAAGGUGGGACUGGCGAUUGGGACUAAGUCGUAACAAGGUAGCCGUACCGGAAGGUGCGGCUGGAUCACCUCCUU
rnacentral:rRNA from 3 species